UUUCAGAAAAGGAGCAAGGAGCAUGCGCGAGAUGGUGGUGCGCCCUGUCGGAACUCAGACGAACUGGUGGUUGGCAAGAGUUCUAUUUCUUUAUAUUGUUCUUCCCGCUGAGGUGGAAAUGUUUUCGAUGUGUUAAAUUUCUGCGGCAUAGUACCACUCUGCACAGAAUGACAAUCACAUGCUCAUUUCGAGGCUGUAGCGAAAGGUACAGGAAAGGCAGCAAGUUGGGCUUCUUUCGGUACCCGUGUAAACGACAGAACAAGGAGCAGCAUAAUGCCUGGAUCGGAGCAUCAAACAGGAAAAAGGCGGACGGGACACAAUGGCUGCCUUCAAAGAACGACAGAGUUUGCGGACGGCAUUUCACGUCAGGCAUGUUGGCUGUUACGAUGAAGUGAACGAGCGCGAUCAGCGCAACGGGGUUGCUCGUGAGUAAUAAUCAGAACGUCCCCGCACAGGCAAGCCAUCCAAGUCACCGCUUCAUCCCGACUACAUUCCAAGACGAGAUGCGCACACGUCAGCCUCGAAGGCGGCGGUGGAUCGCUUCAUGCGGACGGCUGUCAGAAUAUGCAAGUCGCUCAAUGAGGGGCAAGGAGCAUCAUCUGUUCCUGAACAUGAUAAUGCACUAACAGCUACUGGUCUGCACCAUGAAGACGGAGAGAGAACUGAGCACGACAUUGUUGUGAAUCUCCUCAAAGAAAACACGUUGUUGAAGAAGUGGGUAGCAGAACUGGAGCAGCAAAAUAAAGACCUCAGUUACCGGCAACUCCAUGUGGACACUCUUGACGAUCGCAGCUUCAAGUACUACACUGGGCUUAAAGACAGAACACAGUUUGAGAAUUUAUUUAACCAUUUAAAACCUCAUGCCCGUAACAUGGUGUAUUGGUCUUCUGCACGGAAAGGUUUCGAUGAUGAGCGAGGGAGGCCGAAGAAAACAGAGCUGCAUGAGGAACUUUUCAUUGUGCUCGUGCGGCUCAGGGCGGGCAUGCCCACUUGAGAAAUGUCAAGAAACUUUGGACUGUCGGAGGGACGUCUGAGUGAAAUGUUUACCACGUGGAUAAAUCUGCUGGAUCGGGCACUAAGGGCAGCAACAAAAAUCCCAUCGAGACGUGAGGUUCAACAACACCUGCCUGCUUCGUUUAAGGGCUUUGAAGACACCCGUUUUGUAAUAGACUGCACUGAGGUACGCAUCCAGAGGCCAUCCGGACUCAAUGCACAACGCUUGACAUUUUCGUCUUACAAGCACUACAAUACCUUCAAAGUGCUUGUCGCUGCCACACCAGAUGGCUACCUCUGUUUUGUAUCAGACUUGUGGGGUGGGCAAGCAAGUGACACAUUCAUUACAGAGCAAAGUAAGUUUUUUCAGCUUUUGCAGCCAGGUGACGCCAUCAUGACUGACAAAGGCUUUAAAGUUCAUUCACUGCCAGAGGGUGUUAAAGUAUACAUGCCACCAUUUAAGAGAACUGCGCAGAUGCCUGCCGCAGAUGUGUCUUCCACUCGUCGAAUAGCCAGCGCACGUAUUCAUAUUGAGAGGGUAAUUAGACGCGUAAAAGAAUUUCACAUUUUGGACAAGCCAUUCCCCAUUAAUAUGACAGACAUUGCACCCCAAAUGUUCAGAGUAUGUUGUUUUCUCAGCAACUUCCAGUCCCCCCUAAUUGCAAAGGCAGGUCCAUAACAUUUGUAGGGCCAACUUGAUUUUGAGGCGCAUUGCUCGCCCAUUGUAUUUAUUCUGGCUUGCACAUUUUUAGACAGUUAAAGGGUAUCCCAGUUGCGUCCCUUUUCUUUGUCAUCCUCCUCUCCCAUUCAACAUCCCCAGUUGCUUUGCAUGAUUGCAUUGAUAAAUUUUGGAGAUAAAUUGAGAAUGUGGAAGGACCACACUGUUCAUAUGUCACGAUAGUGAUGUUCGCAAAUGCAUGUAAUGUAAAAUUCUUUGCUUUGAUUAAUGUUUUCCCAUAAAUAAAGACUGCACUGCUUAUGA